GGAGGCGUGGCAGAGUGGUCGAUUGCACCGGUCUUGAAAACCGGCAAAGGGCAACCUUUCGUGAGUUCGAAUCUCACCGCCUCCGCCA
rnacentral:tRNA from 1 species